rnacentral:rRNA from 1 species
CCUACGGGUGGCAGCAGUGAGGAAUAUUGGUCAAUGGCCGUAAGGCUGAACCAGCCAAGUCGCGUGAAGGAAGAAGGAUCUAUGGUUUGUAAACUUCUUUUAUCGGGGAAUAAAGGUAUCCACGUGUGGCUAUUUGCAUGUACCCUAUGAAUAAGCAUCGGCUAACUCCGUGCCAGCAGCCGCGGUAAUACGGAGGAUGCGAGCGUUAUCCGGAUUUAUUGGGUUUAAAGGGUGCGUAGGUUGUUUUUUAAGUCAGCGGUGAAAGUUUGUGGCUCAAACAUAAAAGUGCCGUUGAAACUGGAAGUCUUGAGUGUGUUUGAGGUAGGCGGAAUGCGUGGUGUAGCGGUGAAAUGCAUAGAUAUCACGCAGAACUCCGAUUGCGAAGGCAGCUUACUAAGCCAUAACUGACACUGAAGCACGAAAGCGCGGGGAUCGAACAGGAUUAGAUACCCUAGUAGUC